rnacentral:rRNA from 1 species
GAAUAUUAGUCAAUGCUCGCAAGAGUGAACUAGCUAACUGAAAUCAUAGGAGUCAUUGAUAUGAUGAUUAUGAUAACAUAAGGGAAAAAAAUGAUAUUACCUUAUUAUUAGUGUUGUCCAAAACUGGUGCCAGAAGACUCGGUAAGACCAGAGACGCGAACGUUAGUCAUCUUAAUCAGGCGUAAAGGGUGUGUAGGCUGCUUUAAAAGUUUCAUUUUUUAAAUAGCUCUUUAACCGUAUUACUAUAUAAUUUAUACAAAAAAUAAAUGAUAUAACACCUAUAUCCGUGUUUUAGAAAAAAAUGAAAUGAAUUAAAGCUAGGAUCAAAUUGAGGAUAAACCAAAUAAUACUUAGAGUAGGGGUUAAAUCCGCAGAUACUAAGGGGAAUACUAAUGGUGAAGACUUUUUAUCUACUAAUGAUUGACGCUGAGAAACGAAGGUGAGAAUAGGAAAUAGGAUUAGAUACCCAGAUACCUCUCACUGUCAACGAUGAAUGGUGGUUAGUCAGUUUUAUAAAAGACUGGUAACGAUGUUAACACGAUAACCAUUCCGCCUUGCGAGUACGGUUGCAAAACUGAAACCAAAAAAAUU